GCAGAAGCAGCAGAAGCUCAGCGUCAGAUAUGUUUAUGGUGUGCAAAGACAUAGAGAACGCCACGCAGCCGCCACGCAACAGAAAUGCCACGAUCACGCCACGCAGGCAGCGUGCA